CUCCUCGGUUAAUACCCGUGGACGAUGACAUUAGCUGCAGAAUAAGCACCGGCUAACUCUGUGCCAGCAGCCGCGGUAAUACAGAGGGUGCAAGCGUUAAUCGGAAUUACUGGGCGUAAAGCGAGCGUGGGUGGCUUGAUAAGUCAGAUGUGAAAUCCCCGGGCUCAACCUGGGAACUGCAUCUGAAACUGUUAGGCUAGAGUAGGUGAGAGGGAGGUAGAAUUUCAGGUGUAGCGGUGAAAUGCGUAGAGAUCUGAAGGAAUACCGAUGGCGAAGGCAGCCUCCUGGCAUCAUACUGACACUGAGGCUCGAAAGCGUGGGUAGCAAACAGGAUUAGAUACCCUGGUAGUCCACGCCGUAAACGAUGUC
rnacentral:rRNA from 1 species